GAAUUGCUAGUAAUCACAGGUCAGCAUACUGUGGUGAAUACGUUCCCGGGCCUUGUACACACCGCCCGUCACACCAUGAGAGUUGAGAAUACCCGAAGCCUGUGAGCUAACAGUAAUGAAGCAGCAGUCGAAGGUAGAAUCAAUGAUUGGGGUGAAGUCGUAACAAGGUACC
rnacentral:rRNA from 1 species